rnacentral:lncRNA from 1 species
UUGUAGCGUAAAAGCUAAAUAAAUUCGUACAUACUGUAAUACAGUAAGUCAGAGUAUGUAAUUUAAUUUACAAUAACAAGAGGGCCCCCGAAUAAACAAAAGUAAAGAGGACUGUGAACCUACAGUUUGAAGAAUGCAAACCCAACGGUAGUCCUCGAUGAGAUCAGCUAUUUACAGUCUAAUCUGAGCCUGAAAUGGAGGGAAAUGAGCGUGGUGAGAUUAUAAAAUCCCAAUGAGUAAACAGACAUCAUCAUAAACAUCUAGAGUUGAGUACAUGGAGACAAUAAAGUAAAUCAUCGUAAACUGGGUCAUAGUAUUAGAACACAUUUCAUUCAAAAUACGUAAAGAGGCUUAUGAAUCUCAUAAAAACUAGGCUUGUGCCAUAAAUCUAUUCUUAGGGACACCUUGGCCAAGGCAUCCUACCGAGACCGCCAAGGCUGUUAAAAAUUCACAUUUCGCAUAAAUCAUAUUUUUAUUUUGAAACAUAGUCGUUCCUUGGCGUUGGCUGAGUUCCCCCUCACUUGGUGAUUUGGUGUGAAGUGAACCCUAAUCUUUACCUCAAGAGAUACCCUACGCGUCUCUCCGUUUGAGGUAAGAAUAUAAUGGGGUUUACUAUGCCCUUCUAAAAGGCUGAUCUACAGAAAUCCCUUACUGUAGUGAUUAAUUAAUAUAUAAUCCACCAUAUAAUAAAAUUUUGAUAGCAUGACAAGGCUAAUGAAAUACUACCCAACCUGUAAGGGUAAAAUAAAACAAUUCAUAAAACACAGCCUAGCCAAUCAUGCCAACACAAUAACAAUAUAACAUAAGCCAUCAAUUUAAUCAAUCAAAUUGCCAUAAUUAAUAGUCUUCGUGUACUCUAUUUUUCAAAAUCAUUAUUAAUUUUAAAACAAUUUAUAAAUUAAUUUCAUUAGAAAACCUUUAUUCAUAAAACAUGAAAAUUUACCUUUUAAAAUCCAUUUUUCCAUAGAAUUCAUGAUAUCAUAUAAAAACCACCCUAGAUAAUUAAAAUGACAGUAAGUUUACUCACAAUGUCUAGAAUGCAGACUUUCGAAGUACUCUGUCUACUGGUCAUCGAAUGCAAUUU